AAGGAAAGAGAUGGGAUUUGAAUCCAAGUCUGUCUCCAAAAGAAAAGGUUGGAAGCUAGAGAGGUUUGAUGGCCUGCUCAAGGUCAAACGGGCCCUAACUAGAACCCAGGUAUCCUCACUCCUGGUCCUGUCUACCUUCCACAAAGGAGACCUGUUGGUUUAUUUGAUGGUUUCAAGUUCUUCAUUGAAAUUAACCAAGGUAUGGCAUCCUGUGAUCUCCCAUCAAUUUGAGCCACAAGAAUCUAACUUGAUCAAUUAAUUCCUGCCUCAUUUUAUUCUGUUCUCUUCCUUCUCACAGGAAGUAACAUUUCUGCCAACAACAACAUCCACUCCUACUCAGCUCUUCGUUCCCUGCAAUUCCUGUCUUGCCCGACCCCUGCAGAGUGGAAGAAGGUGAUGGAUGGGCAGAGAAAUGGGAGAUGGACAGCUACCAGGGAAGAAUCUGUGAUUUGGGAGCCUUUUGGUGACAUGCACAUUCAAAGGACUAGGAAAGAAUGGCUUUUUCAAACAGCAUAAAUAGAAAACCAGUGGGCCCGAGCGCUCACUGCUACAUAAUGAACGUGCCUGCCUUUUCCUAACAACAUUUUAAGUCGGUAAUUGGCCCGACAGGGGACGUGAACUGUACACUGAGUCACAGAAUAGUACAGAAAAUCUCAGAAUGGCUUCACCUCCCAUCAGGAAAGCCUCCCGUGUACCAAGCCCUGUAGAGACACAUUUCUGGCAUUUGGAGGAGUGCAGACGUUCAAAAUAAGAAAGAGCUUCAGAGGACAACCGUCCCCUGGGUUCCCGGCCUUUUCCACAUCAGAAGACUCUUUGAUAUGUUCCCCUCUUUCCCUAGGGCCCCUUGUUCUAAAGGAUGCAGCCAGCAAACUAAACUGCUCUGAUCAUCUAAAAAAAAAGGAUAUGUUUCCCACAGAAUAACCACAGAUCUAUAUAACGAAUGAUCACUCAGUUAAUAUGAUGCCUCUAAAAGAUAAGUGGCCUGUCUCAUCUAAAAUAAUCAUAAUAUCAAUAAUAAUAUGAUUUUAUUGGGUGCUUACUAAAGCCCAGAUGAGGGAUUUACAAUGCUUAUCUUACUUAAUCCUUAUGAGACUGUCAUAAAGUUGUCUUUAUUUCACAGUUCAGGAAACAGA
rnacentral:lncRNA from 1 species